UAACGCGUGGGUAACCUGCCUCAUACAGGGGGAUAACAGUUAGAAAUGACUGCUAAUACCGCAUAAGCGCACGGGACUGCAUGGUCCAGUGUGAAAAACCGAGGUGGUAUGAGAUGGACCCGCGUCUGAUUAGCUGGUUGGCGGGGUAACGGCCCACCAAGGCGACGAUCAGUAGCCGACCUGAGAGGGUGGCCGGCCACAUUGGGACUGAGACACGGCCCAAACUCCUACGGGAGGCAGCAGUGGGGAAUAUUGCACAAUGGGGGAAACCCUGAUGCAGCAACGCCGCGUGAGUGAAGAAGUAUUUCGGUAUGUAAAGCUCUAUCAGCAGGGAAGAGAAUGACGGUACCUGACUAAGAAGCCCCGGCUAACUACGUGCCAGCAGCCGCGGUAAUACGUAGGGGGCGAGCGUUAUCCGGAUUUACUGGGUGUAAAGGGAGCGUAGACGGUUCUGCAAGUCUGAAGUGAAAGCCCGUGGCUUAACCGCGGAACGGCUUUGGAAACUGUGGAACUGGAGUGCUGGAGAGGCAAGCGGAAUUCCUAGUGUAGCGGUGAAAUGCGUAGAUAUUAGGAGGAACACCAGUGGCGAAGGCGGCUUGCUGGACAGUAACUGACGUUGAGGCUCGAAAGCGUGGGGAGCAAACAGGAUUAGAUACCCUGGUAGUCCACGCGGUAAACGAUGAAUGCUAGGUGU
rnacentral:rRNA from 1 species